rnacentral:rRNA from 1 species
GACGAACGCUGGCGGCGUGCUUAACACAUGCAAGUCGAACGGAAAGGCCCUGCUUUUGUGGGGUGCUCGAGUGGCGAACGGGUGAGUAACACGUGAGUAACCUGCCCUUUACUUUGGGAUAACUUCAGGAAACUGGGGCUAAUACCGGAUAGGAGCUCCUGCUGCAUGGUGGGGGUUGGAAAGUUUCGGCGGUUGGGGAUGGACUCGCGGCUUAUCAGCUUGUUGGUGGGGUAGUGGCUUACCAAGGCUUUGACGGGUAGCCGGCCUGGGAGGGUGACCGGCGACAUUGGGACUGAGAUACGGACCAGACUCCUACGGGAGGCAGCAGGGGGGAAUAUUGCACAAUGGGCGGAAGCCUGAUGCAGCAACGCCGCGUGCGGGAUGACGGCCUUCGGGUUGUAAACCGCUUUCGCCUGUGACGAAGCGUGAGUGACGGUAAUGGGUAAAGAAGCACCGGCUAACUACGUG